rnacentral:rRNA from 1 species
UACGUAGGCAGCAAGCGUUGUUCGGAAUUACUGGGCGUAAAGAGUGUGUAGGCGGUGUCGCAAGUUUGGUGUGAAAUCUCCCGGCUUAACUGGGAGGGUGCGCCGAAAACUGCGAUGCUUGAGUGUGGGAGAGGGAAGCGGAAUUCCUGGUGUAGCGGUGAAAUGCGUAGAUAUCAGGAGGAACACCUGCGGUGUAGACGGCUUCCUGGACCACCACUGACGCUGAGACACGAAAGCGUGGGUAGCAAACAGG